GACGUAGGGCGCGAGCGUUGUCCGGAUUUAUUGGGCGUAAAGAGCUCGUAGGCGGCUUGUCGCGUCGAAUGUGAAAACUCGGGGCUCAACUCCGAGCUUGCAUUCGAUACGGGCAGGCUAGAGUUCGGUAGGGGAGACUGGAAUUCCUGGUGUAGCGGUGAAAUGCGCAGAUAUCAGGAGGAACACCGGUGGCGAAGGCGGGUCUCUGGGCCGAAAUUGACGCUGAGGAGCGAAAGCGUGGGGGAGCAAACAGG
rnacentral:rRNA from 1 species